rnacentral:rRNA from 1 species
AUUGGACGCUGGCGGCAUGCCUAACACAUGCAAGUCGAACGACUGGCGGACGGGUGAUUAAUCUCUGGGAGCCUGCCCGAUGGAGGUGGAUACCUACUGGAAACGGUAGUACAUACCGCGUACAGUCCGGUCUGCCCCGAUGGGAUUAGCUUGUGGGUGAGGUAACGGCUCACCUAGGCGACGAUCCCUAGCUGGUCUGAGAGGAUGACCAGCCACACUGGAACUGAGACACGGUCCAGACUCCUACGGGAGGCAGCAGUGGGGAAUAUUGCACAAUGGGCGCAAGCCUGAUGCAGCCAUGCCGCGUGUAUGAAGAAGGCCUUCGGGUUGUAAAGUACUUUCAGCGGGGAGGCGUUACCCGCAGAAGAAGCACCGGCUAACUCCGUGCCAGCAGCCGCGGUAAUUC